rnacentral:rRNA from 2 species
UAGGGAAUCUUCGGCAAUGGACGAAAGUCUGACCGAGCAACGCCGCGUGAGUGAAGAAGGUUUUCGGAUCGUAAAACUCUGUUGUUAGAGAAGAACAAGGACGUUAGUAACUGAACGUCCCCUGACGGUAUCUAACCAGAAAGCCACGGCUAACUACGUGCCAGCAGCCGCGGUAAUACGUAGGUGGCAAGCGUUGUCCGGAUUUAUUGGGCGUAAAGCGAGCGCAGGCGGUUUCUUAAGUCUGAUGUGAAAGCCCCCGGCUCAACCGGGGAGGGUCAUUGGAAACUGGGAGACUUGAGUGCAGAAGAGGAGAGUGGAAUUCCAUGUGUAGCGGUGAAAUGCGUAGAUAUAUGGAGGAACACCAGUGGCGAACGCGGCUCUCUGGUCUGUAACUGACGCUGAGGCUCGAAAGCGUGGGGAGCAAACAGG